rnacentral:rRNA from 1 species
UACGGGGGGGGCAAGCGUUGUUCGGAAUUACUGGGCGUAAAGGGCUCGUAGGCGGCCAACUAAGUCGGACGUGAAAUCCCCAGGCUCAACCUGGGAACUGCGUCCGAUACUGGAUGGCUUGAAUCCGGGAGAGGGAUGCAGAAUUCCAGGUGUAGCGGUGAAAUGCGUAGAUAUCUGGAGGAACACCGAUGGCGAAGGCAGGUCUCUGGGCCGAUACUGACGCUGAGGAGCGAAAGCGUGGGGAGCGAACGAGG